rnacentral:rRNA from 1 species
GUGAGAAAUCUGCCUUCAACACUGGGAUAACUCCGGGAAACCGGGGCUAAUACCGGAUAUGAAAUCUGCGGGCAUCCGCGGAUUUGGAAAGUUUUUCGGUUGAAGAUGAUCUCGCGGCCUAUCAGCUUGUUGGUGAGGUAAUGGCUCACCAAGGCGACGACGGGUAGCCGGCCUGAGAGGGCGACCGGCCACACUGGGACUGAGACACGGCCCAGACUCCUACGGGAGGCAGCAGUGGGGAAUAUUGGGCAAUGGAGGAAACUCUGACCCAGCGACGCCGCGUGCGGGAUGAAGGCCUUCGGGUUGUAAACCGCUCUCAGCAGGGAAGAAGCGAAAGUGACGGUACCUGCAGAAGAAGCACCGGCUAACUAUGUGCCAGCAGCCGCGGUAAUACAUAGGGUGCAAGCGUUGUCCGGAAUUAUUGGGCGUAAAGAGCUCGUAGGUGGUUCGUCACGUCGGAUGUGAAACUCUGGGGCUUAACCCCAGACCUGCAUUCGAUACGGGCGAGCUUGAGUAUGGUAGGGGAGUCUGGAAUUCCUGGUGUAGCGGUGGAAUGCGCAGAUAUCAGGAGGAACACC